UUACAUCUGUAGUUUAUAGGAUGAGUACCUCCGAAGGAGGUUUGAGCCGAGCGCAGCGAGACAACGUUGCUUUAGCAACGGCCCGUAGGGCUUCAUCCAUAUUGCGUUGAACCUCCUCAAGAGAAGCAA
rnacentral:sRNA from 1 species